CGCUGGCGGCGUGCUUAACACAUGCAAGUCGAACGGAAAGGCCCUGCUUUUGUGGGGUGCUCGAGUGGCGAACGGGUGAGUAACACGUGAGUAACCUGCCCUUGACUUUGGGAUAACUUCAGGAAACUGGGGCUAAUACCGGAUAGGAGCUCCUGCUGCAUGGUGGGGGUUGGAAAGUUUCGGCGGUUGGGGAUGGACUCGCGGCUUAUCAGCUUGUUGGUGGGGUAGUGGCUUACCAAGGCUUUGACGGGUAGCCGGCCUGAGAGGGUGACCGGCCACAUUGGGACUGAGAUACGGCCCAGACUCCUACGGGAGGCAGCAGUGGGGAAUAUUGCACAAUGGGCGGAAGCCUGAUGCAGCAACGCCGCGUGCGGGAUGACGGCCUUCGGGUUGUAAACCGCUUUCGCCUGUGACGAAGCGUGAGUGACGGUAAUGGGUAAAGAAGCACCGGCUAACUACGUGCCAGCAGCCGCGGUGAUACGUAGGGUGCGAGCGUUGUCCGGAUUUAUUGGGCGUAAAUGGCUCGUAGGUGGUUGAUCGCGUCGGAAGUGUAAUCUUGGGGCUUAACCCUGAGCGUGCUUUCGAUACGGGUUGACUUGAGGAAGGUAGGGGAGAAUGGAAUUCCUGGUGGAGCGGUGGAAUGCGCAGAUAUCAGGAGGAACACCAGUGGCGAAGGCGGUUCUCUGGGCCUUUCCUGACGCUGAGGAGCGAAAGCGUGGGGAGCGAACAGGCUUAGAUACCCUGGUAGUCCACGCUGUAAACGGUGGGUACUAGGUGUGGGGUCCAUUCCACGGGUUCCGUGCCGUAGCUAACGCUUUAAGUACCCCGCCUGGGGAGUACGGCCGCAAGGCUAAAACUCAAAGGAAUUGACGGGGCCCCGCACAAGCGGCGGAGCAUGCGGAUUAAUUCGAUGCAACGCGUAGAACCUUACCUGGGUUUGACAUGGAUCGGGAGUGCUCAGAGAUGGGUGUGCCUCUUUUGGGGUCGGUUCACAGGUGGUGCAUGGCUGUCGUCAGCUCGUGUCGUGAGAUGUUGGGUUAAGUCCCGCAACGAGCGCAACCCUUGUUCACUGUUGCCAGCACGUUAUGGUGGGGACUCAGUGGAGACCGCCGGGGUCAACUCGGAGGAAGGUGGGGAUGACGUCAAGUCAUCAUGCCCCUUAUGUCCAGGGCUUCACGCAUGCUACAAUGGCUGGUACAGAGAGUGGCGAGCCUGUGAGGGUGAGCGAAUCUCGGAAAGCCGGUCUCAGUUCGGAUUGGGGUCUGCAACUCGACCUCAUGAAGUCGGAGUCGCUAGUAAUCGCAGAUCAGCAACGCUGCGGUGAAUACGUUCCCGGGGCUUGUACACACCGCCCGUCAAGUCAUGAAAGUUGGUAACACCCGAAGCCGGUGGCCUAACCGUUGUGGGGGAGCCGUCGAAGGUGGGACUGGUGAUUAGG
rnacentral:rRNA from 1 species